rnacentral:rRNA from 1 species
AGUGGCGGACGGGUGAGUAACGCGUGGGUAACCGUGCCUCAUACAGGGGAGUAACAGUUGGAAACGGCUGCUAAUACCGCAUAAGCGCACAGUACCGCAUGGUACCGUGUGAAAAACUCCGGUGGUAUGAGAUGGACCCGCGUCUGAUUAGCUAGUUGGUGGGGUAACGGCCUACCAAGGCGACGAUCAGUAGCCGACCUGAGAGGGUGACCGGCCACAUUGGGACUGAGACACGGCCCAA